AAAAAAAACGUAUUUUACUGUCUGUGGCUAAUCAUUUCAAAUGAUAAGGUUGCCCUACAAAUAAAGCUAAUCCGUCAGUUUAAUAGGAUGAAUAUGGGUGAGCUGUCAAUUUUCCUUCAUGAUUUAUUUUCAGACAUCAUGAGAAUAACGUUAUAGGCUGCUUGGUACUUUAACGUGACAUGUUAGAAUAUCUAUGGCAAGUCGCUGCUUACUCUUGAUGAUUUUAAUUUUUUCAUUUGCAACCCGCUGUAAAAGUAUGAAAAAUGACACCCUAUAUACGUCACGUUCGUGGUCUGUUCUCUCGAAUUUAAUUUACGAUAUUCCAUUAGGCUAAUAAUUCACUGGAAUGCACGAAAAAUCUCCUCAAAUCCUCAUGUUCCUUUCCAGAAUUACCUGAAAUGAAAAGUUACCUCACCAUUAUUGCUCAAAAGACUCCUGCUGAAAAUACAACCAAGUCUCCUGGUCUUCGCUUGUGAAUUUCCUACAGUUUUGGUGCCGUGACCCGGAAAGAGCUCCUCACCUGAAGAUUGAAACUUCAAGCUCAAAGAUCUGACUGUGCUCCAGACUGAAUCUUUUUGUACAACCAAGGGUUGGUGAGUGCCACUCUAUGCAAAAGGACCUUUAAGACCAGUACAAGUUUGUUAUCCUCUGCACCGUCAGAGAAGAGUUAACAGACAGCUGUAGGGUUUGGUAACUAAGGUUAAAUUAGUUAUCCUGUAAUAUCCUCAAAUACGAUUGACAAUUAGCAUACAGUUUAGAUUGGCGGUAUGGUUCUGUUGUGGGCAAGAUCUCCCAUGCAGCCUAGCAUGGAUAAGAGCAGGGAGAGCUGCAAUUGCAAUGCAGCUGCAAUGCUUUUGCAGUUAGCGGAGUAAGCGAAGGCAACAAGUAUGUUGCCAAUAUCUGGAAAACUUGAGCAUGUUACCAACAAUACCGGAAAGCCUUAAGCAACUAGUAUGUUGCCCUUACCUGGAUGACCUAAACAAGCAUGUUGCCAAUUCCCGAAUCAGCCAUAGCAACAAGCAUGCUGUCAAUACCCGAAAUGCUUAAGCAUUAAACGUGCUUAUUGCCAUGAAUGGCAUGCCAUCUGAAAUGAAGAAGUGAAAAUCAAAAUCUAUCAGCUGCUUGCUUGUGGUUGUAUAUUGCCUGUCCAGUUCCAGUUUCUUUUGAGUGUUGACUGUAAGCUAGCGAUGAGAGAGGGAGAUUUCCUUUUCAAUUAUCCUUUUCAUUGGAAAUAUGUCACAAUACUGAGUGAUGUUGGUGGAAACUUCCAGUUUGCGUAGAAUUAAGCGACACGUCAUUAGUACAGCUGGAUGGUUUAAA